UUUUUCACUCUAUUUAAGAGCAAAAUCUCAAAUUACAGCACUGUAAUACAAUCUGUGCACCUUACCGGCCUGGGGCAGUACUGAAUUUUUGUUACUCAUUUCUUUCCCUAAAUGAUCAGUCUCCACUUGGAAAAAUAACAUAGCAAAUCCUUUACAGAGGCAAAAAUGUUACAUGUUGAUUAGGAGAUGAAUUUAAGCACUUAAGUAACACUUUAGUUGGAAUCAUCUGCCUGAGGUCGAAGGAGUGAUCUUGAAACUGCAGCAUGGUCUGCUGCCUGCAGGUGUAGUGUGCAACAGGGCUGCGCUGGCUGCUCAGCUGCUUGCUGACAGCCAAAGGAGAAGGCCUUACUCUCCCUUCCUUCCCUGCUCCACUCUCCACCUCCUAGCAAUGUGCUGUAGCCACAAGGUGAGCCGUAAAUUCACUGGCAAAAGAACACUUACUUUUUUGCCAGAGGUUAUUUUUCUGUCAUUUCACUAAGCUGAGUCAGCUUGCUUUGCAUCAAAUGAGUGCUGGCUCAGGGCAAACAGUGGCAUUGUGCAGGCAGAAGCAGCUGGAAAGCGAAGGAGAUGACAGGAAAGAGUAGGGAACUUUUAUUUUUGAUAGUGAAAUAUUUACUUGACUUGUGGUAUAUUCAGUAUAGAAAGGUCUUGAAUCUAGGAGUGCCUGAGGAUUUAUCUCUGGGCAGUAAUGGGCUUCUCUGUCCAUAUGCCACUUCAGCCAGAAUCAAGCCAGCUCUGAUGCAGAACUGUCUUAGCUAAUAUAUGCUGCCCCUUAGGGAAACUGUCCUAUUUUCCUCUUUCUGUUUAAAUAAUUGAAUAUUGCUCAGUGCUGAAUGGCAGCAUUACUUGAUGAGGUGUAGUUCUAUGUUUAAAUUGACCAUGUGCCAAAUGAAAUGCAGAAGCAAGCUAAUGGGUAGUUGGCAGUUUUCUGUGAUUUCAUAAUAAUUAAACCCAAGAUAUCAAUCACAAAUCCAGGGCCAGACUGUUGGUCAAAUUCAUGCCUAGUGUUGACUUAUUUGUUUGUAAUUGAUUUAUUUAUUUAGUAACUUCUUUGUUGCUUAGUUUGCAACCUUAUUACUGAUACAGAAAAACGUCAGCCAGUGUUUAAGUGUGAUUGAGUAUUUUGUGUGUUGUGUAUUUAUAAGAGUUGUUAAGCAGAAAGCUACGUGGUAUGUUACAGCUCCAACAGUACUACAGAUGUUAAAAUACCAGGAUAGCAUCACUAAGGGUCCUUGUGAAUACAGCUGCAGGUGUUACUGGUGGGCUCAUUCUUCAUAGGGCCAGCAUGUGCUGCCUGUGCUUUUGGUGCUCUUUUUAUUGCAGGUACAACAAACCUGUCUACGGGGAUUUGCUAAUGUCUCUUUAUCCCCAUACACUCUCUUCUUCCACAGAGGGCAUUGCUCCUGUCCUUAACAGGUGAUGCCUAGUUUUGGUCUUGUCCUGGGCUCUUCCCUCAUGUUGAAGUACCAAAAUACUUUUUUUUUUUUCUUGCAUUAAGAGGCUUUCAGCUAAAUCUGUAAACUUGAUUUUUCAGCAAAAUUCUUGGUGUGCUUCAGGGCACAAAAGAAUCCUGCAGGAAUAGUCAGAUGCACAUGCUGGAUCAGCAGCUUGAGCUGUUCUUGAUUGAAGAAAGUAUAGGCGAAGCAUGCAGUUAACACUGCAAGAGUUAACAAGAGAUUACAGCUGGGUUGUUGGAAGUGUACAAAAGGAUUUUAUUCCAGUUCAUAAUAGUACUUUAUUUUGGAACUCUCAUGGUAUCAUAAAUAGUUUGAUAAAAUACACAAACUUUUUAGUGGUUAGCUUUCAGUGGCUAACCGUUUUGUCAACAAAAGCUCUAGAAAUGCUUAACAGUUAGCUUUUGUGCUGAAUUUAUCUUCACAGUUGUUUGAAAACAGUGUUUCAGAGACUUGAGGACAUAAUUCUUUUUUUGAAAACUAAUGUUUUAAAGAUAAAACAUUCAAGUAACUUGAGCUUGUCUGGUCAGACGAAGUUUGGAGAAGUUCAGGCCAAAGCUGAGCUGGGUCUGAUAUACCAACAGAUUCUAAGAGAAGCACAAAAUUACAAGUCUGCAGGAUCUUUCUCUGUUGAACAGUGAUAAACAGUAAGCAUCCGCUUACAGAUGGUGGAUGCAGCACUUCUGGGAAGGUUCUGUAUGUGUGUUCUUGGGCUGUGGCAUCUUCUGUGAGCAGCAGUGGGUAAGUAGAUCAGAUAUUAUGCAGUAAUGAGUUUUGUUUAGGCCGAUUACAAAUCACUGGCUGUGUUUUUUAUUGUUGUUGUUGUAAUUGUGAUUCUGGCCAAAGCAGAAAGUUGCAGUUGUUUGACCAGUUAGAUUUUACAUUUAAUUUGGCACAUGGCCUCUUCAAACAUCAAGCUAGACAUUGAAAAAUGUGUAAGUAGGGAAAAAAGUGCUGCCUUUCAAAGAACACGGUUGAUCUUGGAGGCUCAUAGCAAAUAGUUUCUUUCUUUGUGUUUCUUUACGUAUGCUACUCUGUGCAUUUAUUUGAUUAAAAGCUUGAGUGUAUGUGCAAACAAAUGAAGAAAAAUCUUCAUAAUUUAUUCUGUUGAACUAAAGAUGAUCCAUGAAACCAUAGCACUUCUGUGGUGAUAAGAGAUGACGGAGCUGGUGGAAAGCUUACUGCAGCAAUGAAAUGCAAGUCCUUGUUUCCUUCACUUUCCUUAUCCUCCCUUUUGUGUGGUUCCACAGCUUCCAAGAUGCCACCACUGCUGUUUAUGUUGAUUCCUCCCACUCAGGAAGAAAUGGUCUAUGUUUUUACUUGAUGAUUUAAGAAGGGGUCCAGUAAAGACCAGAACUGGUAUAAGCCCUGAUGAAUCAGAAGUUCUGAAGAGGGACAAGACACAAGGCAAAAGUGGCCUAGGCCAGGAGUCAAUGUAUGAAAGAAAAACAAACUCAACCCAAACAGCUGGCAUUCAAUCCCUUUACAAGGAGAGAAUAGUGACCUCCAAGAACUUCAGAAUGCUUUUUACAAAUAGGGCAAAAGUGAAUUGAAGCUAUCCCAACAAGGGGAUACCCCAGUCUCUCAACAAGAAAGAAGCUGCAAAGAGGUUUGUAACUUUUCAAAAGCCUGGUCUGAUUCUGAAGCUUUGGGAAUAAGAACAAAGUCCAAUGUCCAGAGGUAUCAGCUAGGUUGUACGCAUUUUUCAAAGGGCAAGACGUCCUGGUGUAGCACUUUUGAUGUACCCUGUUUAUAUUCCAAGAUUUAGAGCAUUUUCUUCUUUGUAAAAGUGUUUGGAGAUUAAAAAUCUCGUAUUAUCUCAUUCCAUAGCACUGUAGGUUCUAGCAGGUUAAAACCCCACAAAAGUCAGUGAAAUGUUACAUGUAAGUAUUCAACUUUUAUAUUAUGAAGUGCAGUUUGGGCACCAAAUUAACAUAUCAUUUAUUUCCAUCAGCAUUGGUCAAAUGCAUGUGUCUGUAUGGGUGGAAUUUGUUCCGUCUUAAAACCUUCAUUGCCUGUGUCCAGCUAUGUAGCUACUGUAAUACAAGAGAAUACCAACCAGUGUCUUCCUGCAACUAUGGGAAGACUUUUCCGCUGUGAUGCCAUUUGACUAGGAGGUAAAGGGACUGCAGGGUUGGGAUGACUUGCUCAGCAAGAUCUUUAGGCUACGCAAUGCUGGGGUCAGUAUUUUAAUAAGAUCUAAAAUUAAGGGUGGCUACAACUGGAGAUGCAGAAGUUGUGUUGAUAUAAUUAACAAGUAACUCCGUGAAAUUCUUGACUAUUGCUCUAUGUAAGCUGAUUAUUUAUCUAAUAGAUGUUUCAUUCUACUUAAAUGUAUCAUUCUGUCAUCCCAGCAGGGCAAUACAUACUUAGCAAAGUGCUUCUCUGGGGUUAUUUGGCCUUUUCAGCAAGCUAAAUGUCUUUUUCAACAUUUAAAUUUUUUAAAGUGCAAAAGAAACAUCUUCUGUGAAACCAAAGUACUUUUUAACAAGAGACAAGUCUCUGGCUAUUUGCUUAACAUCCCCUGACCCCCAGCACUUCGCUUACUCUCUUUGACCUGAUAUUUAGUGCUGAACAUCAAAACCAUUUGAUAAAAAGGUACUUUGUCUGAACGGUUUGCUGUUCAAUUAAUUGUACAUUUUAAUUCAACAUUAAUCACAAUACCACAACAAA